GCGGGACAGAGGUGUCGUGCCGCAAGACAGCCCGUGCCACUGUCACGCCUGUUUGCGGAGAAGAAUCAACGGCCAAGGCAAAAACUACGAGCCUGGGCACAUUCCCAACCACUUCGGGGCUCACACACCCGCAUUUGGUGCAGGAAUUCAGAGAGGCUUUUGAAAUUCGGGCAGUUGAACGGAGAACACGAGAGCAAGUGGAGCUGCUGUACCCUUUCUCCGCUUACCCUCCUCGCCCAUCUGUCAGUGAUCCAAGUGUAGUAAAGAUGACAAUGGCCACUAAGGAAACGAACACCCACCCACAGAGGAAGAGGAACGAGGAGGAGGAGGAGGAGGAAAAGUGGCAACGUGAAAGUGGAGAAAAAGAAAAUGCGAGAGGCCCAGGACGAACUGAAGUGUUACAGACCCUCCACUCUGAGCGCCAUCUAAGUGAACAUUUCGUCGAUAACACCUGUGAGUGUACCUGCCAACACCUGAGCCACGCUGACCCUGCUGGCGGUGAUGGUGAUGAUGAUGGUGGUGAUGAUAGUGAUGGUGGUGAAACGGUGGUGACUUGGAUGCAUAGGUCACCAGUUUUAUUUCCUCAUCACCAUCCUCUCCUUCAUCACCCAUCUACUUUUCUUCCCCCUUCCUCCUCCUCCUUCACGUGCUCUUUCAGCUGUCUUCCUCCUCCUCCUCCUCCUCCUCCUCCUCAGCUACCAUCACUGCCACCACCACCACCACCACCACAUCAUCAACAACAACAACAACAACAACAACAACAUCACACCUGCUUGGGAUGUGCUAAUGCCAAGGGCACGGAACAGCAUCAUUGUGGAGAGAAGUUGGAGGGACAGAGAUGAAGCAAGAAGAGGAGGAGGAGGAGGAAGAAGAGGAAGAAGGGGAAGAAGAAAGUGAAGUCUGUUGCGAGAUAACUUCAGAGGAACAGUACACAUCACUAACCGAGGCCGAGGUGGAUGUCCUAACUUACCAAUACCUGAUGAAGAUGCACCAGGCGGCCGCGGAGAUAACGAGGGCCAUCUUUAGAAAAUACAUGGUCAUCGCGGACUAGUGGCGAUGAUGAUGAUGAGGAGGAGGAGGAGGACAACAACAACAACAACAACAACAACAACUCUCUCUACGACGAUGAUGGAGAAGAUGAUGAUGACGAUGAUGAUAGGAAGUUUGUUUGUUUCCUUGUUUAUUUAUUCAUGUAUAUAAUCUACGCAGCACUUUUGUCGAUAGCCUAA